AACGAACGCUGGCGGCAUGCCUAACACAUGCAAGUCGAACGAGACCUUCGGGUCUAGUGGCGCACGGGUGCGUAACGCGUGGGAAUCUGCCCUUGGGUUCGGAAUAACAGUUAGAAAUGACUGCUAAUACCGGAUGAUGACUUCGGUCCAAAGAUUUAUCGCCCAAGGAUGAGCCCGCGUAGGAUUAGCUAGUUGGUAGGGUAAAGGCCUACCAAGGCGACGAUCCUUAGCUGGUCUGAGAGGAUGAUCAGCCACACUGGGACUGAGACACGGCCCAGACUCCUACGGGAGGCAGCAGUGGGGAAUAUUGGACAAUGGGCGAAAGCCUGAUCCAGCAAUGCCGCGUGAGUGAUGAAGGCCCUAGGGUUGUAAAGCUCUUUUACCCGGGAUGAUAAUGACAGUACCGGGAGAAUAAGCCCCGGCUAACUCCGUGCCAGCCGCCGCAGUAACAC
rnacentral:rRNA from 1 species